UUACAAGUUCUUUGUAAACAAACACGCCUUUAAAGCUUAACCCUCUAGCUUUGUGUUUGCUCCGUCUCUGUUAUCCAUGGCGAUGGCGUCUACUUUUGUCACAUUCCCAAAGCCAUUCGCUGUCACCAGAACCAGUGGCCCAUCUCUCUCUCAACAGAGAAUUCUCGGUUUGCGGAAGUGUUCGCUGAGAAUCAAUGCUGUUGCCCAGAAAUUGGAACCCAAGAAGGUUGUUCCACAGGCUGAUAGAGUCCUUAUCCGUCUCGAGGAGCUACCCGAGAAAUCAGCCGGCGGCGUAUUGUUGCCCAAAUCUGCUGUCAAGUUUGAGCGGUACCUGAUGGGAGAGAUACUCUCUGUUGGUGCUGAGGUUGGGCAAAAUAUGGAGGCUGGAAAGAAGGUUCUUUUUUCAGACAUAAAUGCAUAUGAGGUAAGCUAAAUGCCUGGUAGGAGAACCUUUUCAUUGGCCAUUUACAUAUGUGAAGAAGUUUUGCCGCUCCUUCUCCCCUUUACAUGAUGGGAUUACGACUGACUAUGUUCAGAGGAUUACAAACUAUGUUGAUUUGGGAACAGAUUCUCGGCACUGCUUCUGUAAGGCUAGCGACUUAUUGGCCGUGGUGGAGUAAAGAACUUGGCAUCUCCUCAAGAUUUCCAUUGAUCAAGGCAUCCGAUUAAGUUGGUCUAAAUGGAGGAGAAGAAUGUAUUGCAUUUUUUGUGUUGUAUUCGCUUUAACGGUUUAACCUGUGUGCCUCCUUUAUGUUGCUUAUGAUAGAAUACCCUUCUCAUGGUUGUGGAUGAUGAAUAAUAAUCCUUUUGCAUUGAUGGGUGAUAUUUGUCUCCA